rnacentral:rRNA from 1 species
UGAGGAAUAUUGGUCAAUGGGCGAGAGCCUGAACCAGCCAAGUAGCGUGAAGGAUGACUGCCCUAUGGGUUGUAAACUUCUUUUAUAAAGGAAUAAAGUCGGGUAUGGAUACCCGUUUGCAUGUACUUUAUGAAUAAGGAUCGGCUAACUCCGUGCCAGCAGCCGCGGUAAUACGGAGGAUCCGAGCGUUAUCCGGAUUUAUUGGGUUUAAAGGGAGCGUAGAUGGAUGUUUAAGUCAGGUGUGAAAGUUUGCGGCUCAACCGUAAAAUUGCAGUUGAUACUGGAUAUCUUGAGUGCAGUUGAGGCAGGCGGAAUUCGUGGUGUAGCGGUGAAAUGCUUAGAUAUCACGAAGAACUCCGAUUGCGAAGGCAGCCUGCUAAGCUGCAACUGACAUUGAGGCUCGAAAGUGUGGGUAUCAAACAGG